UGGGGAAUAUUGCACAAUGGAGGGAACUCUGAUGCAGCGACGCCGCGUGAACGAAGAAGGCUUUCGAGUCGUAAAGUUCUUUUAUAUGGGAAGAUAAUGACGGUACCAUAAGAAAAAGCCCCGGCUAACUACGUGCCAGCAGCCGCGGUAAUACGUAGGGGGCUAGUUUUGUCCGGAAUCACUGGGCGUAAAGGGUUCGCAGGCGGAAAUGCAAGUCAGGUGUAAAAGGCAGUAGCUUAACUACUGUAAGCAUUUGAAACUGCAUAUCUUGAGAAGGGUAGAGGUAAGUGGAAUUUUUAGUGUAGCGGUGAAAUGCGUAGAUAUUAAAAAGAAUACCGGUGGCGAAGGCGACUUACUGGGCUCAUUCUGACGCUGAGGAACGAAAGCGUGGGUAGCAAACAGG
rnacentral:rRNA from 1 species